rnacentral:rRNA from 2 species
CGGCGGCGUGCCUAAUACAUGCAAGUCGAACGAACUCUGGUAUUGAUUGGUGCUUGCAUCAUGAUUUACAUUUGAGUGAGUGGCGAACUGGUGAGUAACACGUGGGAAACCUGCCCAGAAGCGGGGGAUAACACCUGGAAACAGAUGCUAAUACCGCAUAACAACUUGGACCGCAUGGUCCGAGUUUGAAAGAUGGCUUCGGCUAUCACUUUUGGAUGGUCCCGCGGCGUAUUAGCUAGAUGGUGGGGUAACGGCUCACCAUGGCAAUGAUACGUAGCCGACCUGAGAGGGUAAUCGGCCACAUUGGGACUGAGACACGGCCCAAACUCCUACGGGAGGCAGCAGUAGGGAAUCUUCCACAAUGGACGAAAGUCUGAUGGAGCAACGCCGCGUGAGUGAAGAAGGGUUUCGGCUCGUAAAACUCUGUUGUUAAAGAAGAACAUAUCUGAGAGUAACUGUUCAGGUAUUGACGGUAUUUAACCAGAAAGCCACGGCUAACUACGUGCCAGCAGCCGCGGUAAUACGUAGGUGGCAAGCGUUGUCCGGAUUUAUUGGGCGUAAAGCGAGCGCAGGCGGUUUUUUAAGUCUGAUGUGAAAGCCUUCGGCUCAACCGAAGAAGUGCAUCGGAAACUGGGAAACUUGAGUGCAGAAGAGGACAGUGGAACUCCAUGUGUAGCGGUGAAAUGCGUAGAUAUAUGGAAGAACACCAGUGGCGAAGGCGGCUGUCUGGUCUGUAACUGACGCUGAGGCUCGAAAGUAUGGGUAGCAAACAGGAUUAGAUACCCUGGUAGUCCAUACCGUAAACGAUGAAUGCUAAGUGUUGGAGGGUUUCCGCCCUUCAGUGCUGCAGCUAACGCAUUAAGCAUUCCGCCUGGGGAGUACGGCCGCAAGGCUGAAACUCAAAGGAAUUGACGGGGGCCCGCACAAGCGGUGGAGCAUGUGGUUUAAUUCGAAGCUACGCGAAGAACCUUACCAGGUCUUGACAUACUAUGCAAAUCUAAGAGAUUAGACGUUCCCUUCGGGGACAUGGAUACAGGUGGUGCAUGGUUGUCGUCAGCUCGUGUCGUGAGAUGUUGGGUUAAGUCCCGCAACGAGCGCAACCCUUAUUAUCAGUUGCCAGCAUUAAGUUGGGCACUCUGGUGAGACUGCCGGUGACAAACCGGAGGAAGGUGGGGGAUGACGUCAAAUCAUCAUGCCCCUUAUGACCUGGGCUACACACGUGCUACAAUGGAUGGUACAACGAGUUGCGAACUCGCGAGAGUAAGCUAAUCUCUUAAAGCCAUUCUCAGUUCGGAUUGUAGGCUGCAACUCGCCUACAUGAAGUCGGAAUCGCUAGUAAUCGCGGAUCAGCAUGCCGCGGUGAAUACGUUCCCGGGCCUUGUACACACCGCCCGUCACACCAUGAAGAGUUUGUAACACCCAAAGUCNNGUGGGGUAACCUUUUAGGAACCAGCCGCCUAAGGUGGGACAGAUGAU